rnacentral:rRNA from 1 species
AUUGAACGCUGGCGGCAUGCCUUACACAUGCAAGUCGAACGGCAGCACGGGAGCAAUCCUGGUGGCGAGUGGCGAACGGGUGAGUAAUACAUCGGAACGUGCCCAAUCGUGGGGGAUAACGCAGCGAAAGCUGUGCUAAUACCGCAUACGAUCUACGGAUGAAAGCAGGGGAUCGCAAGACCUUGCGCGAAUGGAGCGGCCGAUGGCAGAUUAGGUAGUUGGUGAGGUAAAGGCUCACCAAGCCGUCGAUCUGUAGCUGGUCUGAGAGGACGACCAGCCACACUGGGACUGAGACACGGCCCAGACUCCUACGGGAGGCAGCAGUGGGGAAUUUUGGACAAUGGGCGAAAGCCUGAUCCAGCCAUGCCGCGUGCAGGAUGAAGGCCUUCGGGUUGUAAACUGCUUUUGUACGGAACGAAACGGCCUUUUCUAAUAAAGAGGGCUAAUGACGGUACCGUAAGAAUAAGCACCGGCUAACUACGUGCCAGCAGCCGCGGUAAUACGUAGGGUGCAAGCGUUAAUCGGAAUUACUGGGCGUAAAGCGUGCGCAGGCGGUUAUGUAAGACAGUUGUGAAAUCCCCGGGCUCAACCUGGGAACUGCAUCUGUGACUGCAUAGCUAGAGUACGGUAGAGGGGGAUGGAAUUCCGCGUGUAGCAGUGAAAUGCGUAGAUAUGCGGAGGAACACCGAUGGCGAAAGCAAUCCCCUGGACCUGUACUGACGCUCAUGCACGAAAGCGUGGGGAGCAAACAGG